ensembl:lncRNA
AUGUGCUAAUGAUACAUGACAUCACGGACACAGUAGUUCAAAGGUCAAAGCGUUGUCUCUUGGUUUGAAGCCCGGCGGCCGAAGGGGAUGUAGUUCAUCAGACGGCCACUAGGAGAACAUGACGCCACUUCUCUCGAUCUCUAGUUUCAAGUCAACAGCAUGAUGUUCAUUCAGUGAAGGCGGGGCCUCCUGUGAUUGACAGCUAAUUCCCGUUCACCGGUGGUUUGAAGCCACGAUGUCCUCUCAUUUAUGCUGUCAAUGCGGUAAAAUGUUUGUUGGUUCUUCGUGGAACCCACUAAUGAAUCGGCCACAUCAGGUUUCCAAUAUCAAGCUCUCAAGUUUCCACGUGAAUCUCUGAAAAAUUCAGAAACAGAGACUUUCAAUAUCGGAAAGCUAAUAUUGGGAAAAUCAAACAUCCAAUUAAACCCACCAGGAGUUCCCAUAUGUCUCACUACCGGUCUGUAGCUGACACAAAAUAAAAUCAUCGUUUGUAUGAAUGAAAUAUUAAUCUUAAGUAUUAACUAUUUAUCCAUCGGAUGCAAACAGAGACUUAUUCCCUCACAAUGUGUGGAAACUUCAGGCUGUCGGUUCGGAGGAUCCGAUUGGUCGCUGGUUACGUCCUAAUCAGCCCGGGUCUUUACUCGGAGCCCCAAGAAUCCACACGCGUGUGGACGGAGCCGCUGGGCUCGCCACGCUCCACCACGCCGCUUUCUCCUCACGCCAUCGGUCCAACGGACACGCAAGUUCAGCGAGUCAAAUUCAGAAGCAGAACAAACCGCUGAUACGGUUCCUGGUGUGUCAGAUUAUUCCACUUACGCACUGACUAAAAGCUACGUUUGUUAAUAGAUAUUAGUCAUAAUAAUGGAUGUUGUUUUAGGAUCCUUCCAUUGGACGUCAUUCCCAUCCUAAACACAUCCACCUAUUUCCUAUGAAGGUUUGUCGUCCUUAUUAUCGUAUAAGUCUGUAAAGCAUUAUAACAAGCACCAUAUCACUGCUGCUGAGGCCGAUAACUCUCAAUGGAGAACAAACAAACAAACAAACAGCCAGUGAGGAUGUGAAGAGUCCACAGCACAUUACAUUCUUUUAUUACUACCGCACGCACCGGCUCGUCUCACACAAUAUUCUUUCCCUUUUGGCAUUCGGAUCGAUUAUCUCACGUCGCCAUAGAAACCCAAUGGCAGUAAACUAAAUGCUGUUUCAAUUCAAAAGGCCAUGUAUUGCCAAACCGAUUCCCACACAACCAUCGGUGGUUUUCUCCGAUCUGACCCCUGUUCGUUAGGUUUAGUGACCCCCGCAUAUCAAGUUGAUUCAUCUCCCGAAUCCGCAUUUCACAGACAAUCCUUUUUACUCGGUUCAUGCAUCCGCCCGUAUUCCAUGAUUGCGUCAUGUUGCAUCGGCCCUGCCUCCGUCCCCCCCGGAGACGUCCCCUCUUCUGUUUGGUUUUGACCCCCUUGUGUGUUCAGACAAGCUUCUACAGGCUUUAAUUUAAUCAAGCACAAGCCCCGAGUCUGGAGAAAAUAAUAAAACCUCGCUGCAUCUCCAUCACUGGAGGAGGAAGAGGAGCAGAGCAGGAAUGAUAGUUGUCUUAUCUCCUCACUCGAUUUAUUACCAGCGUGGAACUCCACACAGACACACACACACGCGCACACACACGCGCACACACACGCGCACACACACUUCAGAACUCCGGACAGAAAUAACUCCGAUACAGAUUGUGGUAUUUAUUACCAGCCGUGUGUAACACCGCGCGCACACUACAGGCCUGGUUUGUUCCACUGCGCACGUGCACGCACUGCGCGGGCUGUGUGGACAAAAUAACAGGAACAACUCGUGAUGUGAGCGCUUCCUUGAUUUCUCUUCACUCGCCUCGAUUCCUGGAAUCCAAAUAGGCCGAAGACACGAGGGAAAUAAGGAGAGGGUUUUAACAAAUCGAUCCUUCGCCUCACGCGUCUCCGGACUGUGUCACAGUAUUAUUUUAUUUCCGUCAACAUAUACGACGUAGACUCAUCGUGCUUUAGAAAGUGAUGUCCUAUAAAGUAAUAUCAUGUUUGCAGUUUCAGACAAAUUGUCACGCUGAAGGUCUUCCGGUUCUCUGGCCUUCACCGGAGCGGAUGACCAGCAUGCACUUGGGCGACGGGUUUGGCUUUCUAAUCUCAGGCUAAUCCAUGGAUGGAUGGGCCCCGUGGCCCUAUUGAUCCCUCUGUUGACUGCAGUAAUGAAGGUUACGAUAGAUUGUUGUGUCUCACCGAGGCUGCUAAGCUCUCAGCUCCUCGAUGACCUUUGAGUCCCAUUAACAGUGAAUGCGGUCCAGCUGAGCACUGCAGCGGAGGUCUGGCUGCAGCUCAGUCAAACGUGACGUGCAGGUGCUCGUGGCGCUAAUGGCAUUUACCGGCGUCGCCGUCACGAUUACAGCUGAAGGACUCUUCGUCGCUCCUCGUCUCCCUCCCGGCCUCUUGCGGGACGCCUGUGCCGCACAUAAACAAAGCCUCCUCCUCCCGCGUUCAUGAGAGAAUAAAAAAAUCCAUAAGCAUCAGGGCUGCAUGCACACAGGAGCAUGUACCGGUUCCAGAAAUGGAGGGAAAUGCACACGCAUGUUGUUGCCCCCUCAUUAGGGUGCAACACAUCCCGGAUGUAGAGGCGACGGCGUGACACCUGAUGGGUAGAAAGGCGCCAUGUCCACAUCGCCAGAUAACUAUUCACCAACGAUUCCUGCUGCGUUGCACUAAGAAAGUCCAGCAGAGCGUGUUCAGUCCUUUCAAAAUAAACUUCAGUCUGCCCAGGGAAGCCAUCAGUCAGGUUUAUGCAGACAAUUAUUUAGUUAUCCAGGCUCGGGCUCAAAUGACUGACAAUAUGAAGUGUGUUACAUUAGAAUGGUUCUACAUGGAUGUCCUGGAGGACAGUUGGAUCCGACAGUACUAGAUUCAUGUAUUUUAUCGACCACUCAUCGGCCCACAUGCAAACCUAUUUCUGGCCGACUGGUUCGACUCUUCUGGUGGACACGUGGACACGUAAUGUAUGUAACAAAAUGUUUACAUGAACACACGCGGCUUCUGCUUCACUGAGCUGUUUAACCUCUGCGUGUGUAGGCGUGUGGCCUCGGAACGCCGUCCAGCUGUCGCCGCCACCUCUGGUUGAGUUUGGAUUAAAACGUGUUAUGAGCACAAACGCACGUUCGGCUUGGCGAAUACGGUGAAUAUAUAAAUGAGUUUUUUAUGUGUGGUAUAUUAAAUAAUUGUAUCUGGGGAACUACUUUUUUCCUAAUGUGAAACCACGGAGGAACAUUUCUUAAAAGGCGUAACCUAUAAACCAUGAGAUGAGCACAUUUGUGUGAUUUCACAUUUUUCUGUUCAAUAAAAGGCUUAAAACCUUCUUAGUGAGGUUUUCAUGCGUCCCUCUGGUUCCCGUUUCCUGUAUUCUCAUCAUGCCUGAUUAGCAGAGAGUGAAGAUUUCCCCACACAGAAGUUCAUUCCAAGCCGCCGUAUGUUCCAGCUGUCAGUAGAUGUGUUCAUACGUCUCUGACAAACACGCCGCUUAGAUGCAAACGUUUGCUCCCGGUCCUUCUAAAAAUAAGCUGCUUGCAUUGGAAUCUAAAGACGGACCUGUUUCCUCCUCCAGCGUGUUUGUUGCUGCCAAUCUUCAUCUCUCAUCUCCAGUCUAAAGAUGACACAUGGCGCAUGAGUUUCUCUUGGUAUUGAUUUCACGUCCUGCGUGAAGGGACAAUAGAUGUGAUUAAAAAAAGAGACCUAACGUAUCGCAGCAAUCUGAAAGCAAAGAUGCUCAAAACACGCACGCUGAAGAGGAAGCACGGUGUGGACGUCUGAGGGUUAAACUGCUGAUGACCACAAGAUGCUGUGCUGCUUCCCCCGUCGUCGGUUGGAGGAGGCAGGAAGUGGGAGGGAACAGUAAGGAAAAUUAAAAAAAAGAUAAAACCUAAUGAUACGUUUCGUUGAGAUAAUGAAAGAGCUUCUUUGAGUGACAGUUAGACGGGUGACCACAUGCUUUACUCCUCUUACAAAGACUCUCCAGGGUUUCUGAUGGCUGUCAGAAGGACGACCCUUCUACUCACGUUUGAGCAACUCUGAUAAGCUGAAGCCGCUUCUUAUUGUUAACUGUCACAGGGGCCACGAACGCCUCCGAACCAGUCUGUCCUCUGACCAGUCUGUCCCCUGAACCAGUCUGUCCUCCGACCAGUCUGUCCUCCGACCAGUCUGUCCUCUGACCAGUCUGUCCUCCGACCAGUCUGUCCUCUGACCAGUCUGUCCUCUGACCAGUCUGUCCCCUGAACCAGUCUGUCCUCCGAACCAUCUGUCACCCGAACCAGUCUGUCCUCCGAACCGUCUGUCCCCCGAACCAGUCUGUCCUCCGAACCAGUCUGUCCUCCACAAAGUCUCUUUGGCUGUAGUGAGACUGGAGAGGUUUAAACUCUACUCAGAAACCUGCCGAGCUAACGUUAGCACAGUUAGCAUAUUGCUAGCGUUAGCACUCAGAGUCCUACUCGUGCUGCUUUGGCUUUUGACUCUAGCAGUGAAUGCAGACCGACGGGUUGCUUCGUUGUCCUCCGUGUCCAUCGGCAUGCUGACCAAGUGGUUCACUUUUACACGGCGACCUGCAGGCAGCUUCUCUUUCAUUCUCUGUCACCAGUUUAACAAAUCGGCCGCAUGGAGCCUGCUCACCUGUUCAUGCGCUUGCUAACAGGCGCUUUUAUUCUUCUCCUGCGCGGUGUGUUUACGUUCCGUUUGCAACGAGUCCCCAGCUGCAUGCUGAUGUGUCCGUGUGUCUGCACAGAUAAUACUGAACGCUCUGCUGCAGUGAGACAUCCGUCUCUACCCUCCUCACAGCCGCCCUGCAAGACACCUGGCCGAUGGUCUGCUCCUUCUAUUUCACACGCACGCACACGAACACGUGCGCGCAUUGGAAAUGUCCUUUAACGCUUCAGGGGUCUCCUCUUGUGUGUUUGACUGCUGCCUGCUGCUCGCUGAGGUGGACUGAUUGAAAAUAACAUUUCUUUUAGCUUUUCUCAGCCCAGUGCUGUUGCAUGCUGGUCGCACACACACACACACACACACACACACACACACACACACACACACACACACACACACAGAGCAUCUGCACCUGCCCUAUAAGACGGAGGAGAGGCGUUUGUUUUGCGGGCAAAAAGUUUUGUCCUCACGGGACGUCCCUUCAGGCCGCUCACGUCCCCUCACGCUCACUACACUGUCUCCUAGUUUGAAUAGUGAAAACCGCCGCGUAUUUGGACGUUUUUAAUAGAUAUUUUAAUGCCAAUUACGUUCAAAUGUCAAUCAAGGGGCCUCAAUUAAAUUCCUUUUGUAGACCAAAAUUGCAAGUAAAGAAUUUGCCCCAGAGGGCUUUGCAGUUCCGCUCCUCUGUCCCUAAACCCCCCCCAUCGGCACAGGAAAAACCCCAAGUAUGAAAAAAACGUAACCUUGGGGACGGACAGACUACGAUGGAUGUCAUGUGUACAGAAUGUACAGACCCCAGAGACCCCCCCUGUAUUUCCCACACUGGCUGUAAAUGGGGCAGUUAGCAUCUUAAUCCAGGCUAAUUAUUAAAUAUUCCGGUUAUUGUUCCUAUCAGGGUCCAGGUUCCUAUAAGGGUGAAUGAUCCAGAGUGUAACCGGUCAGAGACCAACACCAGCAGAGACGUUCUUCCCUCCUCUCGCUUGUUUUACCUCCGCUGGUUUCUCUCGGCCCCUCGGGGGGCCCGACCUGCUGAUCCGCCCCGCUGACCCGCCCUGACCUCUCCGCUUGUAAACAGCCCGGCGGCGAGGUGUCCGACUGGCUUCCGAACGCAGCAGAGCGACAGCAGGGGGAGAUGGCGGGAGGCUGAACAGAGUCUCUGCCUGGCAAAGUGAGAAAUCACUGUGUGAGGGAGGAGGUGUGAAGCCGAGCACACGGAACGCACAUUUAGAUGGUGCGUGUUUGAUGAGAGGGGGGGAGAUGAGUGUCAGCCGCGUUGCCAAUGCGUCCGUGUCAUAAUGGGAGAGCAAAAAAAAAAAAAAAGCAUCGCGGCGGUGGAGAUGUUCUCCGGGGACAUCACGUCCCCGAACCACAAGAAGAUGUCUCAUCACGGCUCCUUCCUUCGGGAGCCCUUUUUGUUCUUUUCACCCGCCUGCAAACAGCAGCGAAUAGUAAGUACGUCCACUUUGAUUCUGUGACAAGCUCAAUGUUGCUCGCGCUCACUAAAGUGAAACUGAAGAGAAGUGAGGCGUGAGACAAACACAGGACUUUCAUCCAGGACGCCGGACCAGGAAGUUCGUCUUCCAAAAUGUCAUUGAGUUACAGUAGUGAUGUUUGUGAUGUUUGCUAUUGUUAGCAUUAGCAUGAGGACCUAGCUGCCUCACCGCUCACCUUGUCAUCAUUUGACUCGGCAUCCUGCUGAUGCUGGUGUCCUCAGCAUCAUCUCGUCCAUGCUGUGAGCCCAUGACACCGAUGAUCAAACUGAAUAAUAGUAAAGAGAAAUCCUCUUUAGGGCAGGAUGUGUGACAUCAUCUCAAAGGCAUCUGUCCAUUUGCACACCUGCUGACUCUGGUCCAGGUGCACAGUGCAGCAGCAAUCCACCAGGAAUCCAUCAGAAGGGGCAUUUUACACAUGAAGGAGCCGGGCCGCGGCAUCACGGCGUAGCUGAGGAACCGACAUGCUCGAAAAAUCACCACAGCAGACGUCGCUUUAAAGGAGCACGCCGCUUUUAAAGUGCCCGCUUUGGAAAAGUUAAACCGUAUAUAUCUUGGUUUAAUGGAACAAUUUACAACUUACAAAGAUAGUGAGGUGAUGUGAUGACGGGUAUGAUGCUUCAUUUUAAUGUUUGCUUUACUAUCAUUUCAAACCGACCUCAUAAUAAAGAAUGAAACGACGGCCUUUGUCAGAGGAGACUGAUGCAGAGGCCGCGUUA